rnacentral:rRNA from 1 species
CCUACGGGUGGCUGCAGUGGGGAAUAUUGGACAAUGGGGGGAACCCUGAUCCAGCCAUGCCGCGUGUGUGAAGAAGGCCCUCGGGUUGUAAAGCACUUUCAGUGAGGAAGAACGCCUGGUGGUUAAUACCCAUCAGGAAAGACAUCACUCACAGAAGAAGCACCGGCUAACUCCGUGCCAGCAGCCGCGGUAAUACGGAGGGUGCGAGCGUUAAUCAGAAUUACUGGGCGUAAAGCGCGCGUAGGUGGCUUGAUAAGCCGGUUGUGAAAGCCCCGGGCUCAACCUGGGAACGGCAUCCGGAACUGUCAAGCUAGAGUGCAGGAGAGGAAGGUAGAAUUCCCGGUGUAGCGGUGAAAUGCGUAGAGAUCGGGAGGAAUACCAGUGGCGAAGGCGGCCUUCUGGACUGACACUGACACUGAGGUGCGAAAGCGUGGGUAGCAAACAGGAUUAGAUACCCUUGUAGUC